UACGAAGGGGGCUAGCGUUGCUCGGAAUCACUGGGCGUAAAGGGCGCGUAGGCGGCUGUUCAAGUCGGAGGUGAAAGCCCAGGGCUCAACCCUGGAAUUGCCUUCGAUACUGUCUGGCUAGAGACCGGAAGAGGUAAGUGGAACUGCGAGUGUAGAGGUGAAAUUCGUAGAUAUUCGCAAGAACACCAGUGGCGAAGGCGGCUUACUGGUCCGGUUCUGACGCUGAGGCGCGAAAGCGUGGGGAGCAAACAGG
rnacentral:rRNA from 1 species